GAGAAUUUAAAUAGCCGCAGUACCCUGACUGUGCAAAGGUAGCAUAAUCAGUUGACUUAUAAUUGAAGUCUAGUAUGAAUGGGAACACGGGAAUAUUCUGUCUUUAAUAUAUAAAAGAAAUUACUAAUUAAGUGAAAAUUCUUAAAAAUGGGAAAAUAGACGAGAAGACCCUAGAAAUUUUUUAAUUUGAUUUUGUUGGGGCGACAGGGUAACAAAAAACUUACCUAAAGUUAUAGGAAAUUUUUUAGUGGUGUAAUUAAAUUACUCUAGGGAUAACAGCAUAAUAUUUUAAAGGUUGUGACCUCGAUGUUGGACUAGGAAAUACACUACUUAAAAGGUAGUGUUUAUGGUUCUGUUCGAACUUUUACUCCUACAU
rnacentral:rRNA from 1 species